rnacentral:ncRNA from 1 species
AAUUACUACACACCUAUCCCACACAACCAUAAACAUAAAUUCUAACACACCUAUAAACAUAAGCAUCAAUGCACCUAACCUAUUUGCUUACCCACACAUUUAAUCGAUGCAUCUUGUUGGUGACCAUUCUCCUCUCAGGUAAACAAUUAAUCAUGUGUUAAUUAGACCAAGUAGGUCCAAGGGGGAUAGGAUUUAAUGUGUUAAUAAUCACCUGACCUAUACCUUGAAUCUACACCCCCUAAUCUUCUCAAUCAUUGACCCAUAACCCUUCUAAAUACACAAUGUGAUUUAUUCCCAUUUCUUUGCAUGUCAAAGUGAAGAAAUUCAACCAAGAGAGGGUAAAUGGUGGGGGUAACUAUGACUCUCUUAAGGUAGACAGAUUCCUCAUCAUCUAAUUAGUGACGCACAUGAAUGUAUCAUUAACAUGAUUCCCCACUCUCCCUAGAUACUAUAUUCUAGAGAAACCACAUCCAAGGGAAUGGGCUUGGAAGAAUUAGUGGGCAAAGAAGACCCUAUUGAGCUUGACUCUAGUCCUAACCCAUUCAUAGUCUGGGAAAAUUAGGGCUUAGU